rnacentral:rRNA from 1 species
UGGGGAAUCUUGCACAAUGGGCGAAAGCCUGAUGCAGCAACGCCGCGUGCGGGAAGACAGCCCUAGGGUUGUAAACCGCUUUCAGCAGGGAAGAAACUGACGGUACCUGCAGAAGAAGAUGCGGCCAACUACGUGCCAGCAGCCGCGGUGACACGUAGGCAUCAAGCGUUAUCCGGAUUUAUUGGGCGUAAAGAGCUCGUAGGCGGUUCGGUAAGUCGGGUGUGAAAACUCUGGGCUCAACCCAGAGAGGCCACUCGAUACUGCUGUGACUAGAGUGCGGUAGGGGAGCGGGGAAUUCCUGGUGUAGCGGUGAAAUGCGCAGAUAUCAGGAGGAACACCAGUGGCGAAGGCGCCGCUCUGGGCCGUAACUGACGCUGAGGAGCGAAAGCAUGGGUAGCAAACAGGAUUAGAUACCCUGGUAGUCCACGCCGUAAACGAUGGGUGCUAGGUGUUGGGUAGCUUGCUAUUCAGUGCCGUAGCUAACGCGUUAAGCA